GAUGAACGCUGGCGGCGUGCCUAGUACAUGCAAGUCGAGCGAACGGACGAGAAGCUUGCUUCUCUGAUGUUAGCGGCGGACGGGUGAGUAACACGUGGAUAACCUACCUAUAAGACUGGGAUAACUUCGGGAAACCGGAGCUAAUACCGGAUAAUAUUUUGAACCGCAUGGUUCAAUAGUGAAAGACGGUCUUGCUGUCACUUAUAGAUGGAUCCGCGCUGCAUUAGCUAGUUGGUAAGGUAACGGCUUACCAAGGCAACGAUGCAUAGCCGACCUGAGAGGGUGAUCGGCCACACUGGAACUGAGACACGGUCCAGACUCCUACGGGAGGCAGCAGUAGGGAAUCUUCCGCAAUGGGCGAAAGCCUGACGGAGCAACGCCGCGUGAGUGAUGAAGGUCUUCGGAUCGUAAAACUCUGUUAUUAGGGAAGAACAUAUGUGUAAGUAACUGUGCACAUCUUGACGGUACCUAAUCAGAAAGCCACGGCUAACUACGUG
rnacentral:rRNA from 1 species